rnacentral:tRNA from 1 species
UCAGGUUUAUCUUAAAGUUAAGAAGCUUUAUUUACAUUAAAGUAAAGUCGUGCAAUUCGAAGAAAUCUGAA